AUUGAACGCUGGCGGCAUGCCUUACACAUGCAAGUCGAACGGCAGCACGGGUGCUUGCACCUGGUGGCGAGUGGCGAACGGGUGAGUAUACAUCGGGACGUACCUUGUCGUGGGGGAUAACGCAGCGAAAGCUGUGCUAAUACCGCAUACGCCCUGAGGGGGAAAGCGGGGGAUCGAAAGACCCCGCGCGAUUAGAGCGGCCGAUGCCUGAUUAGCUUGUUGGUGGGGUAAAAGCCCACCAAGGCGACGAUCAGUAGCUGGUCUGAGAGGACGAUCAGCCACACUGGGACUGAGACACGGCCCAGACUCCUACGGGAGGCAGCAGUGGGGAAUUUUGGACAAUGGGGGGCAACCCUGAUCCAGCAAUGCCGCGUGAGUGAAGAAGGCCUUCGGGUUGUAAAGCUCUUUUGUCAGGGAGGAAACACCGGCUCUAACACAGUCCGGGAAUGACGGUACCUGAAGAAUAAGCACCGGCUAACUACGUGCCAGCCGCCGCAGUAA
rnacentral:rRNA from 1 species